CAAGAAGUACUUGUUCUUAAUAAGUCUUUACAUGCAUUUUGUUGCUUGCGUAAUACUAAAACAGUAAUACAGGAACCCGAGCAGGCAAAAGACGUACCAAAAGCUAUUCAGGAAGUUUGGCUAAUUCGGCUUGAAGAUUAUUGCUUCACAAGUAAAACCUUAGAAGAACGAAAGUAACUGUUAUGAGCUAAAAGUCAAGUUAUGUCAUACUUUUAAAACAGUUAAGUACCCGCCUUCUCAAAGUGGAAUGACUGCAGAAAAAUCAAACAAAAAACUAAAAAUUGCUCCGAGGAAGAAGCACCUGCUUUUAAUACGAAUAUUUCAAAGAGAUAUAUUGAAUUUUGAGCGGUGCUUUAAGUGACAAGAAAACAUCUACUAUGUGAUAUCAUUUUCAUAUUUCUCAAGUCACAAUAUGAAUAAAAAAAAAAUAGAGUUAGCCCAAGUUUGCAGUGCCAUAUGACAUUUUGCAUGCCGGCCGAUGCCAUCAUUUGGAAAAGCAGUAGGGAUCCUUUUUUAAAACGCGCGAUAAAUUUUUGACUAUGUUACACAUUUAUUAUUUUUAUUUUAUAUAAAUAUAAAAAUAAUAAAUAUACUAUUUUUAUGUUAAUAUUUAUCAGUUUUACCAUCGAUAGUUAACAGCAUUAGCGUUUGGUUAUCCCCACCAUGAUAUUUAUUAGCUACUUUCAAUGAAGCCAUAGAUUUCGCUUUAAGAUAAUAAAUAGUAAAGCAUUUUGUUGGAUUAACUUUAGUUAAAUCGUGGUGGUUGAACGAUGGAGGUUAAACCAUGGUGGUUUGCACCAUGGUGGUAUAGCCAUGGUGUUUAAACCAUGGUGGUUAAACCGUGAUCCAACGCUUUCUUAAUUUUCCAAUGUUACUUUUAUUUCCGUUGAACAAAAAUUUUUAACGAAGUAUUAUUUGCUAACCCUACUGCCUUUUAUAUAUAAAGCAUUCUAAUGUUUCAUAUCCAGACACCUCACCCAGUAGGAACAGAAUUAUCAAAUACACAAACAAUAAAAAUAUACGUUUCACAAUAAAAGUAUUAAAAUACGGUAUUUGCGUCAUUCCGUAACAGCAGAGCGUUUAAAUUGGAGCCGAUAGUGUGAAUGGUGUGGUAUAUGAAAUUUGUUUCAAUGUUUCAAAGCACAAUAUAAAAACAUAAAACAAUAUUAUAUUUCUUUUUUUUUUUUUUUUCAAGCACGAGACUUGUAUAUUUUUUCUUCAUUAAAGAUAAAUUACUUUUGAAGAUGUGAAGAAAUUUUGGUUUUGUUGCUUAAAUAAUUAAAUCUGAAAAUUGAAAGAUGUUAAUUCGGAUAAUUCCACAACAGCAAAGAGUUCAUAAUAUUACCUGAUGGGAAGCACUGAAAUGAAAAAGGCAAGAAUAUGUGCAAUCUGGGGAUUAUUGAUAUUUCAGCACAUGUUUAUGCAUCCAGGUAAAUGGCGGCACGUUAGUGUAAAUUGAAGCUCUUUAAUGACAGCACAAGUAUACCAAUGUAAUUUAUAAAGUUAAAGAAAUGGAUCUAAUUUAUGGGUUCAAGAAAAACUUAAUGCUGUUUUACGAGAAAGUCAUAUCUGCAAAAGAAGAAGAGAAGAAAGAAAAAACUCUUACAAUAUUUUUUAUAGUUUAUUGAACUUUUAUCACUUUAACGGAAUGAUUAUGCAUUUUCGUUAUAUCACACUCCCGAUAGAACUUUGUAUUGUUUGUUAAAAGCAGUAUACAGACUAUAUACAAAAUUUUGGUCUUGCAACAUCAUUAAAAAACAAGAAGGUCUAAAAUUAGUAUUUAAACUAGUCGAUAAAACCUGUGGAAAAAUCCACUUAGACAGGAUAACAAUAAAAAUGAACCGUUAUUUAAAUUUUGAUGACGUCAGCUAGGAUCUGUCAAGAGACAAAAUGUUUUUUCUUGGAAAUUUGUUUACUUGUUGCCUUUAUGGUGUAGAGCUUGAAUAGCUGAUUUAAAUAAUGUAUAGGAUCAUUUAAGGAGAUAUGAGGGUUUAAACAUUUUGCUGACGUCAGCAAAAACGAACAAGUAUGCAAAAAAAUUAUUUUAAGAAAUUUGUAUAUUUUCUGAUGACGUCAUCGACCCGUCUCUUCCGAAACGGAUUGGGGGACCCAGGCUUGGGAAACUUACUCAAAUUGCUCCAAGGUGGUCCUUACCCACGCGGUAAAAAAUUGACGUCACCACCUCGUUUCCAAGUUAUUUGGCCUCAAAGUUUUAAGUGCAAUGUAAUGGCUUCAUUAAUUAAUAUACUUUCCGUUGACGUCAACAUUAUGUUAACAUCAAAGUUUAGUACUUUACAGAACAAAUUUAUAGGUGAUGUUUUAUAGACUUUAUCAAAGAAAGUAGUGAAUAUAAUAAUCCACUUUCCAAAAAUGACAGACAGACACACGGAGCUGGCGUAUUAUUACAGAGAUUGAAACAAUGUCAGCCUGGGUACUAGUUUUCAAUUAUAUUAGCAAAACAAUCAGGGUACGAGUUUGCUGAGUUAUAAAAACAAUGUGCAAAAACGUAGCGGGCUGUCCGAAUUUAUUAGUGAGUUAAAAAUGUUAUCGGUCUGGGUACGAGUUUGUCGAGUUGUAAGAUUAAUAUGCGAAAAGAUGUCAGGCUAUCCGAAUUUAUUACUUAAAAUUGAAUUCUGUCAGUCUGGGUACAAGUUUACUGAGAUAUAUAAGCAAUGUGCGAAAAAAUGUCAGGCUAUCCGAAUUUAUUACUAGGAUUAAAAUGUCGUCGGUCUGGGUACGAGUUUGUCGAGUUAUAAGAGUAAUGCACCAAAGGAGUUAAAAUAGAAUAAAAUAGAAUUCAUAAGGUCUGGGCACGACUCUUCUGCGGAGAUAUAGAAUCAAAGCGUGAAAAGAUGUUACGCUAUCCAACUUUAUUACUAAGAUGAACAUGUUAUCGGUCUGGGUACGAGUUUGUGAAAAAAUCAAGCAGGGCAUCUGUAUUUUUUCUAACAUUCAGACGGUGAUACGAGCAUGACUCUGGUACAGACCAGUUCAACAGGUCUGUACCAGAGUCGUGACCGUUUUACAACCCAAAACCCAGAUUUCUCUGUCUAACCUAAAUUUUUCUUAAAAGGAAGCAUAAACCACGUGACGUAAAGUAAAAACUACGACUUCUAGCGAGUGAAAAAUAAUGAUGGCGAAACCAAAAGAAUCAGUAGAUUUUUGAUUUCUUUAAUGGUUUUUAGUUUUGUGAAUUUCAGUAGCUAUAUUUGAAGAUUUUUGUGUGAAACUUUAGUUUGUUAGACAGUUUGUACGUCUUUAAAAUUUCGGAAAAUUGUUGUCAUACUCUCACUUGUCUUAAUAAAUGUUGUGCAUUUGG